rnacentral:rRNA from 1 species
UACGGAGGGAGCUAGCGUUAUUCGGAAUUACUGGGCGUAAAGCGCACGUAGGCGGCUUUGUAAGUAAGAGGUGAAAGCCCAGAGCUCAACUCUGGAAUUGCCUUUUAGACUGCAUCGCUUGAAUCAUGGAGAGGUCAGUGGAAUUCCGAGUGUAGAGGUGAAAUUCGUAGAUAUUCGGAAGAGCACCAGUGGCGAAGGCGGCUGACUGGACAUGUAUUGACGCUGAGGUGCGAAAGCGUGGGGAGCAAACAGG